rnacentral:lncRNA from 1 species
AAUCUCAAAGCAGUAAAAAAAACAACUCAUUACCCAAGAGCAGAACCAGGCACCAACACAGGCACCACUGGCAUUUGGCACUGGACUUGCUGUAUAAGAUUAUACCACGUAUUGCUGGAGGUUUAUCACACUGACUUCCACCUACUAAAUGCUAGUAGCCACUAUCAGUUACCAUGACAACAAAAAUGUAUCAACACGUUUCAAGUAUUCUCAGGAAUUGAGCAGGGCCUAUGCUGGUUGAAAAUCAAAUUGAUUCUACCUAGAAAAUACUUAUUUUAAAAAACAAACAAACAAACAGAAUAAGAAAGAGAACUGAACCAUAUUUGAGAGCUAAACUUCAAGUGUUGGAGCAAAUCAUGUGUCUUUGCAAAGAGUGAAGGAGUUUCCCACAGCUCACAGGCCUCUGAAGCCUCAGGAAGAAAUUCAGGNNNNNNNNNNNNNNAGUGUUUCUUUUCUUUCCUGGGACCUCAGAGUACAACCUGGAGCUCUCCACCCAGAGAAAAGGCUAAGAAACAGCUUUUGGGGAAAUGUUCCCAUUGAAUGAUUUCCCCAGGUAAAAACAAGAAAACUUCCAAACCAUCUAAGAAAGACAGUACAGUUUUAGAAGGACUAGGUUUCUUCAUGUAUUAUUGGGCAUCAAGAAAGGGGUUAUUGAGGGGAAAAAUGUUCCACUUCACAGUCAAUCAGGGCAGAAAGAGAUAGAGGAGGAAAUAAUAAGGUGCUGACUCUCAAAGAUAAAAUCAUGGCAAAUCCUUGAAGCUAAAGAAGAAUGAAAAGAGCAUAUAAAAUUAUAAUUUCAUAUUAUAAUUUUAUAAUUGUAUAANNNNNNNNAGCAGUCAAAUGUCUGUCUCAGAUAAUGGACAUAGGGAUAUCCCUUAAUGUGCCCAGACUCCAUCCUACUUAUCUAAGAUUUAUAGAUUAAGUUUUAUAAUUAUUGCUUGUUGUACAAUAAUACUUGGUUCUCAUAAAUUCAGUUUUCAAAGGCUAACUCACAUAGGAUGAUUAUAUAUUCGUUUAAUAAUAAAGGAAACAUGAAUUAUUAUAAAAGCAUUUAUCUAUAAAGAUUAAAUUUACAGGAACACUGGA